GAUGAACGCUGGCGGCGUGCCUAAUACAUGCAAGUCGAGCGAACGGACGAGAAGCUUGCUUUUCUGAUGUUAGCGGCGGACGGGUGAGUAACACGUGGAUAACCUACCUAUAAGACUGGGAUAACUUCGGGAAACCGGAGCUAAUACCGGAUAAUAUUUUGAACCGCAUGGUUCAAAAGUGAAAGACGGUCUUGCUGCCACUUAUAGAUGGAUCCGCGCUGCAUUAGCUAGUUGGUAAGGUAACGGCUUACCAAGGCAACGAUGCAUAGCCGACCUGAGAGGGUGAUCGGCCACACUGGAACUGAGACACGGUCCAGACUCCUACGGGAGGCAGCAGUAGGGAAUCUUCCGCAAUGGGCGAAAGCCUGACGGAGCAACGCCGCGUGAGUGAUGAAGGUCUUCGGAUCGUAAAACUCUGUUAUUAGGGAAGAACAUAUGUGUAAGUAACUGUGCACAUCUUGACGGUACCUAAUCAGAAAGCCACGGCUAACUACGUGCCAGCAGCCGCGGUAAUACGUAGGUGGCAAGCGUUAUCCGGAAUUAUUGGGCGUAAAGCGCGCGUAGGCGGUUUUUUAAGUCUGAUGUGAAAGCCCACGGCUCAACCGUGGAGGGUCAUUGGAAACUGGAAAACUUGAGUGCAGAAGAGGAAAGUGGAAUUCCAUGUGUAGCGGUGAAAUGCGCAGAGAUGUGGGGGAACACCAGUGGCGAAGGCGACUUUCUGGUCUGUAACUGACGCUGAUGUGCGAAAGCGUGGGGAUCAAACAGGAUUAGAUACCCUGGUAGUCCACGCCGUAAACGAUGAGUGCUAAGUGUUAGGGGGUUUCCGCCCCUUAGUGCUGCAGCUAACGCAUUAAGCACUCCGCCUGGGGAGUACGACCGCAAGGUUGAAACUCAAAGGAAUUGACGGGGGCCCGCACAAGCGGUGGAGCAUGUGGUUUAAUUCGAAGCAACGCGAAGAACCUUACCAAAUCUUGACAUCCUUUGACAACUCUAGAGAUAGAGCCUUCCCCUUCGGGGGACAAAGUGACAGGUGGUGCAUGGUUGUCGUCAGCUCGUGUCGUGAGAUGUUGGGUUAAGUCCCGCAACGAGCGCAACCCUUAAGCUUAGUUGCCAUCAUUAAGUUGGGCACUCUAAGUUGACUGCCGGUGACAAACCGGAGGAAGGUGGGGAUGACGUCAAAUCAUCAUGCCCCUUAUGAUUUGGGCUACACACGUGCUACAAUGGACAAUACAAAGGGCAGCGAAACCGCGAGGUCAAGCAAAUCCCAUAAAGUUGUUCUCAGUUCGGAUUGUAGUCUGCAACUCGACUACAUGAAGCUGGAAUCGCUAGUAAUCGUAGAUCAGCAUGCUACGGUGAAUACGUUCCCGGGUCU
rnacentral:rRNA from 1 species